GUUAGGAAUCUUCCACAAUGGGGGCAACCCUGAUGGAGCAACACCGCGUGCUGGAUGAAGGCCUUCGGGUCGUAAACAGCUUUUGUAUACGAAGAAUAUGACGGUAAUAUACGAAUAAGGGUCGGCUAACUACGUGCCAGCAGCCGCGGUCAUACGUAGGACCCAAGCGUUAUCCGGAGUGACUGGGCGUAAAGAGUUGUGUAGGCGGCUUAUUAAGCGAGUAGUGAAAUCUGGUGGCUCAACCAUCAACACAUUGCUCGAACUGAUAGGCUUGAGAAUGGUAGAGGUAGUUGGAAUUUCUUGUGUAGGAGUGAAAUCCGUAGAUAUAAGAAGGAACACCAAUGGCGUAGGCAGACUACUGGACCAUUUCUGACGCUGAGGCACGAAAGCGUGGGGAGCGAACCGGAUUAGAUACCCCAGUAGUCC
rnacentral:rRNA from 1 species